rnacentral:rRNA from 1 species
CCUACGGGUGGCAGCAGUGAGGAAUAUUGGUCAAUGGGCGGAAGCCUGAACCAGCCAAGCCGCGUGAGGGAUGAAGGUACAGAGUAUCGUAAACCUCUUUUGUCAGGGAACAAAGGCGGGGACGCGUCCCCGGAUGAGUGUACCUGAAGAAAAAGCAUCGGCUAACUCCGUGCCAGCAGCCGCGGUAAUACGGAGGAUGCGAGCGUUAUCCGGAUUUAUUGGGUUUAAAGGGUGCGAAGGGGGUCUGUUAAGUCAGCGGUCAAAGCCCGGGGCUCAACCCCGGCCCGCCGUUGAAACUGGCAGUCUCGAGUUGGAGAGAAGUAUGCGGAAUGCGCGGUGUAGCGGUGAAAUGCAUAGAUAUCGCGCAGAACUCCGAUUGCGAAGGCAGCAUGCCGGCUCCACACUGACGCUGAGGCACGAAAGCGUGGGUAUCGAACAGGAUUAGAUACCCUUGUAGUC